CCUACGGGUGGCAGCAGUGAGGAAUAUUGGUCAAUGGGCGUAAGCCUGAACCAGCCAAGUCGCGUGAGGGAUGAAGGUUCUAUGGAUCGUAAACCUCUUUUAUAAGGGAAUUAAGUGUGGGACGUGUCCUGUUUUGUACGUCUCUUUUGAUUCAGGCUCGGCUAACUCUGGGCCAGCAGCCGCGGUAAUACGGAGGAUCCGGGCGUUAUUCGGAUUUAUUGGGUUUAAAGGGUGCGUAGGCGGCCUUUUAAGUUAGCGGUGAAAGUCUGUGGUUCAACCAUAGAAUUGCCGUUGAAACUGGGAGGCUGGAGUGUGUUUGAGGCAGGUGGAAUGCUUGGUGUAGCGGUAAAAGGCGUAGAGAUCACGCAGAAUCCUGAUUGCGAAGGCGGCCUGC
rnacentral:rRNA from 1 species